UACGGGGUAGGGCAGCUGUUCGGUCGAAUCAUUGGGCGUAAAGCGCGCGUAGGCGGCCCGGUAAGUCAGCUGUGAAAGUCAAGGGCUCAACCCUUGAAAGCCGGUUGAUACUGUCGGGCUAGAGUCCGGAAGAGGCGAGUGGAAUUCCCGGUGUAGCGGUGAAAUGCGCAGAUAUCGGGAGGAACACCAAUGGCGAAGGCAAGCUCGCUGGGACGGUACUGACGCUCAUGCACGAAAGCGUGGGGAGCAAACAGG
rnacentral:rRNA from 1 species